AGAGUUUGAUCCUGGCUCAGGAUGAACGCUAGCGGCAGGCUUAACACAUGCAAGUCGAGGGGCAGCAUAAUGGAUAGCAAUAUCUAUGGUGGCGACCGGCGCACGGGUGAGUAACACGUAUCCAACCUGCCGUCUACUCUUGGCCAGCCUUCUGAAAGGAAGAUUAAUCCAGGAUGGGAUCAUGAGUUCACAUGUCCGCAUGAUUAAAGGUAUUUUCCGGUAGACGAUGGGGA
rnacentral:rRNA from 1 species